rnacentral:rRNA from 1 species
GGACUAUCAUGUCGGUCGUGCCUCGGUACGUACUGGUAUUGUUGGUUUCUCCCUUCUGACGAACCAUGAUGUCAUUUAUUUGGUGUCGUUGGGGAAUCAGGACUGUUACUUUGAAAAAAUUAGAGUGUUUAAAGCAGGCUAACGCCUGAAUACAUUAGCAUGGAAUAAUGAAAUAGGACGUUUGAUCCUAUUUUGUUGGUUUCUAGGAUCGACGCA